GAUGAACGCUGGCGGCGUGCUUAACACAUGCAAGUCGAGCGAAGCACUAAAGCGGAUUUCUUCGGAUUGAAGGUUUAGUGACUGAGCGGCGGACGGGUGAGUAACGCGUGGGUAACCUGCCUCAUACAGGGGGAUAACAGUUGGAAACGGCUGCUAAUACCGCAUAAGCGCACAGUACCGCAUGGUACGGUGUGAAAAACUCCGGUGGUAUGAGAUGGACCCGCGUCUGAUUAGGUAGUUGGUGGGGUAACGGCCUACCAAGCCGACGAUCAGUAGCCGACCUGAGAGGGUGACCGGCCACAUUGGGACUGAGACACGGCCCAAACUCCUACGGGAGGCAGCAGUGGGGAAUAUUGCACAAUGGGGGAAACCCUGAUGCAGCGACGCCGCGUGAGCGAAGAAGUAUUUCGGUAUGUAAAGCUCCUWWUCWAGGCMAKGGRAAAAWGGKWAA
rnacentral:rRNA from 1 species